AAAGCAGGAGCCCUCCUUGGCAGUGCUUGGGUGUCGGGGCUCUGAGGCUCCGGCCUGACCUCUUCACGGGGUCGACGGGAUCGUCUCCGGAUGCCAGGAGUCCCAAAGGGCCGACCAGGAUGAGGAAACCCCAGGCGGAGUCCGGGGGAAGCAGCACGGCAUCCCAGCCUCAGGCCUGCCCGGACGGUGAUGGUUGGGGUAAGAUUGGGGAAGAUGCCAGGUGAUAGAAUCCACCCUGCCUCUGACAGCAUCCAAUCUGGAGCAAAGGCUUAUUUCAACCCUCCCCCAAGCUCCCAAUACAAGCCCAAAUUCUGGAACAGGUCCUUUCCAACACCUCCUUCAGAGAAGCUCCCUGGCUCCAGGCAGUGCUUGCUCCCCUCACUGCAGCAGGAAGCCUAACUUGCGAACUGCAGGUGUGCUCCAGGUGGUCACUGGAUGCAAGAAAUGGUGCGAGAACUUUGGAUGUGGAACGUGGAGGAGGAGGAACACGAAGUGGGGAUCUGCACUUGGGGUGGUCAGCACUGCGGAUGCCCAGCAAAGUCACUGCCUGGUCCACAUCCCGGAGGGGUCUCUGCGCCUCAGUCGGCAUCGCAGCUGAUGGUGAAACUUUUGGUGUGGCAGAAGAGUGUCCACAAACUUCGGAAGAACAGAAACGCCUACAGUUGCGGCCCCCUGUAGUGCAAUUUGUGUCAGUCUAGGGAGAGUGGAUUUGGAGCCCAACCACCAUUGAGGAAAAUCCAUCUGACGGACAUGAGCCUCACUCAGGUUCUCAUCUACUUCCUUGGGGUCUGCCCCGCCUCCCUCAGAAGUUUGGAACCACAUACUGUUCUGGAGGGGACCUCUCACUGCUGCAGAACCUGUCCUCCAGGAUACCGACAAGUGUUCAUCUCGGUCGUGGCUAAUUAACUUACCAUAUGGUAGUGAACUCCCUUCUGGGGCCCCAAUAUUUUGUUUAUUUUUAAAAAAUAAAAUUAGUACCAUUGUUUAUUUUC
ensembl:lncRNA FAM182B family with sequence similarity 182 member B